CCACGUCCCGACGCACCACCCCCCCGGCGCCGGGACUUCCCACGCCGGGUCCGGCGCCUGUCCCCCCGGGCGCCGGGCCCGGCUUUUCG
rfam:Streptomyces sp. 4F, complete genome.